rnacentral:rRNA from 1 species
GAUGAACGCUAGCUACAGGCUUAACACAUGCAAGUCGAGGGCAGCAUGAGCUUAGCUUGCUAAGUUUGAUGGCGACCGGCGCACGGGUGAGUAACGCGUAUCCAACCUUCCGUUUACUCAGGGAUAGCCUUUCGAAAGAAAGAUUAAUACCUGAUAGUAUGGUGAGAUUGCAUGAUGGCACCAUUAAAGAUUUAUUGGUAAACGAUGGGGAUGCGUUCCAUUAGGUAGUAGGCGGGGUAACGGCCCACCUAGCCUGCGAUGGAUAGGGGUUCUGAGAGGAAGGUCCCCCACAUUGGAACUGAGACACGGUCCAAACUCCUACGGGAGGCAGCAGUGAGGAAUAUUGGUCAAUGGGCGAGAGCCUGAACCAGCCAAGUAGCGUGAAGGAUGAAGGUCCUACGGAUUGGUAAAACUUCUUUUAAUACGGGAAUAAAGUAUCCUACGUGUAGGAUUUUGUAUGUACCGUAUGAAUAAGGAUCGGCUAACUCCGUG